UACAGAGGUCUCGAGCGUUAGGCGGAAUCACUGGGCUUAAAGCGUGUGUAGGCGGCGGGCUAAGUACCUUGUGAAAUCCUACGGCUUAACUGUGGAACUGCUGGGUAUACUGGGUUCGCUUGAGCGGUCUAGGGGCGAGCGGAACAAAUGGUGGAGCGGUGAAAUGCGUAGAUAUCAUUUGGAACGCCAACGGUGAAAACAGCUCGCUGGGGACCUGCUGACGCUGGAGACACGAAAGCCAGGGGAGCAAACGGG
rnacentral:rRNA from 1 species